UUGGGCACUCUAGAGAGACUGCCGAGGACAACUCGGAGGAAGGUGGGGAGUGACGUCAAAUCAUCAUGCCCCUUAUGUCCUGGGCUACACACGUGCUACAAUGGCUGGUACAAAGAAGACGCAAGACCGCGAGGUGGAGCAAAUCUCAAAAACCAGUCCCAGUUCGGAUUGCAGGCUGCAACUCGCCUGCAUGAAGUCGGAGUUGCUAGUAAUCGCAGAUCAGAAUGCUGCGGUGAAUGCGUUCCCGGGCCUU
rnacentral:rRNA from 1 species